AGGAUGUUAAUGGAUAAAUGUUUCAGGCAGAAUAAUGGCCCUCAAAGAUGUUGACACCAGAAUCUUCAGAACCUGUGCAUAUGUUACCUAACAUGACAAAAGGGACUUUGCUGAUGUGAUUAAGGUCAAGAACUUUGAGAAGGGAAGAUUAUCCUGGAUUAUACAGGUCAACGUUUAUUUCUUUCUGAACUUUCCUGGAGGAUCAUCUGCCAUACUCCAGCAGAAAGAUGGAUUUGAAAAAAUAACGAAGACGUUGGAGAAUUCACAUGCUAUUUUAGCUGGCUCUGUGAUUGCAAUCACACAAAUCAUUACAUUCCAGCGAGAUCCCAUCAACAGAAGGUUUUUCCGUUUCAGUCUGUCAAGUUUUUCAGGCAUGAAUACUGUAAGCAAGAAGAGAAAAGUUACAAUAAAUUGACAUUUAUAGUUGAA
rnacentral:lncRNA from 1 species